rnacentral:lncRNA from 1 species
CGGGGGUGCGAUGUGCGGGGGAGGGGGAUCGGAGGGGUGCACUGAUGACGGGUCGCCAUGGAAACGGAGGAGAAACUACGUGUUGCUUUGAAGCGGGCGCGUCGGUGAGAGUCGGGAACAAUUUCAACCAAGUUGCGUGACGUCUCGGUUCGGCUUAACUGUGUGCGUUCCCGCGUUGUUCCUCCCUCUGAUUGUUCCCUCAGGACUCGGCAUCUGAUUUGUCUCCACUCCCGCCCUAGUUUACCCAAAACAAAAUGAAGACCUCCUCGUUUUCUCUCCGGGUCAUGCGAAGAGCUCGGAAUAAAUCGGCAGACGGCGGUCACGUGAACCAGAAAGGGCAGCCCGGUCAAAACCCCCGAAUCAGAAUCAGAAAAACAUCCAGAACAAGCCCGGCCAAAAGGGGGGCUCAAAACAGGCGCCCUCCUCGCAGAAAGGACAGGUGAAGACCCCUCCACAACGGACUGAUUCGACGACACCACCCCCUGCCCCGCGACCGAAACCGGCCCCCGUGAAGCGACCCCAAAAAGGGAAACGACGCCAAUAUGAUCUCAUCGUCACCAUCGACUUGGUAAGCUACGCAUUCUUUAAAAUAUUACCGAUGUCGCAAAUCCUGAAAUGGGUCAGUUGCGCCGGUCACAGAAUCGCGCUAUGGUGAUUUAUUCUUGAAGAUCAACUAAAAGUAAUAAGAUCCGUCCAAACAUAAACUUUCUACGUUCAAUAAUAGCCGAUAUAUCGCGCCUUGAAAAACUCUAUUAAUGACGUCAUCCACCGCGGUAGUACAUACCAUGUUAUGCACUGCCGUGGUGGAUGGCGUCAAAAACCCGACUUCUCAAAGGACGAUAUCUCGGAUAAUAUUCAACGUAGAAAGUUGCUGUUUGGAUAGAUGUUAUUAUUUUUAGCUUACCUACCUACAAGAAUCGAGCAUCAAAACAGGAUUCUGUUAGCAGCACAACUGGCCCAUUUAGUUUUAAGUAAUUUGAAGCGACGCUCUCCUUCCGUCGAACGAUGCCCCUUUUAAAAUUAAAAUUUUAUCCCACGCUCGGCAACAACGUCGUUUCACCGUUGCCAACUCGUGAGCAU